UACGUAGGUGGCAAGCGUUGUCCGGAAUUAUUGGGCGUAAAGCGCGCGCAGGCGGUCCUUUAAGUCUGAUGUGAAAGCCCACGGCUCAACCGUGGAAGGUCAUUGGAAACUGGAGGACUUGAGUACAGAAGAGGAAAGCGGAAUUCCACGUGUAGCGGUGAAAUGCGUAGAGAUGUGGAGGAACACCAGUGGCGAAGGCGGCUUUCUGGUCUGUAACUGACGCUGAGGCGCGAAAGUGUGGGGAUCAAACAGG
rnacentral:rRNA from 1 species